rnacentral:lncRNA from 1 species
CAAAAUCGGGUUGUGAUUUUAUUAUGUGAAUGAGUUAUAAGUUGCUUCUCUGUUCACAAAAUCGGGUUGUGAUUGCAUUGGUUGUUUAUAUUCAUUGCUGUGUGAAUUACUGGAAUUUGUUGACAUGUGGAUGAGUUACAAAAGUUGUUUUUUUUGUUCAGCAAUGAUUAAUACUAUGUUUCAUGAUCUUAUUCAUAUAUACAUGUCGGUAAUCAUAUGGUCACACCUGUCUGGUUGUUUGGACUCCCAUUUAUCUACUAUUUCUGCUCCUUAGGUUUCUAAGUUGCACUUGUUGAAUGUAUAUGACAACAUAGAUUGGUCCAGUCAAAUGCCUUUUCCCUUUGAUCUGCAAUAUGUAUUAUAUUAUUUGUUGGUGAGUUUCGAAUAAUAAGCUUUAAAAGUAGCUUUUUUCUCCUAAUACGUUUAAUUUGCAGUUACGUAUCUUGCCUUGCUUUUGCUUAUCCUUCAGACUAGAUUCAGGGGUUCCUUUUAUCAAGGAGUGGUGAUUCAACUGUAAGUGAGCAUAGUACUCGUGUAAAAUUAACACAAUUUAUCUACAUGUUUUAGCAAGAAUUAUAAUCUGACCCUUCUU